UACGAAGGUCCCGAGCGUUGUUCGGAAUCACUGGGCGUAAAGGGAGCGUAGGCGGCGCGGUAAGUCAGAUGUGAAAUCCCGGGGCUCAACCCCGGAACUGCAUCCGAUACUGCCGUGCUAGAGGAUUGGAGAGGUAGCUGGAAUUCUUGGUGUAGCAGUGAAAUGCGUAGAUAUGCGGAGGAACACCGAUGGCGAAGGCAGUCCCCUGGACCUGUACUGACGCUCAUGCACGAAAGCGUGGGGAGCAAACAGG
rnacentral:rRNA from 1 species